rnacentral:rRNA from 1 species
GCAGUAGCCGCGGUAAUACGGAGGGUGCAAGCGUUAAUCAGAAUUACUGGGCGUAAAGCGCACGCAGGCGGUCUGACAAGUCAGAUGUGAAAUCCCCGGGCUUAACCUGGGAACUGCAUUUGAAACUGUCAGGCUGGAGUCUUGUAGAGGGGGGUGGAAUUCCAGGUGUAGCGGUGAAAUGCGUAGAGAUCUGGAGGAAUACCGGUGGCGAAGGCGGCCCCCUGGACAAAGACUGACGCUCAGGUGCGAAAGCGUGGGGAGCAAACAGGAUUAGAUACCCCUGUAGUCCCUGUCUCUUAUAA